rnacentral:rRNA from 1 species
UGAACGCUGGCGGCAGGCCUAACACAUGCAAGUCGAGAGGCAGCGGGUAGAAAGCUUGCUUUCUAUGCCGGCGAGCGGCGGACGGGUGAGUAAUACCUAGGAAUCUGUCCAUUAGUGGGGAAUAACCAGCCGAAAGGUUGGCUAAUACCGCAUACGCCCUACGGGGAAAGGGGGGAGUCUUCGGACCUCUCGCUAAUGGGGGAGCCUAGGUCGGAUUAGCUAGUUGGUGGGGUAAAGGCCUACCAAGGCGACGAUCCGUAGUUGGUCUGACGAGGAUGACCAGCCACACUGGGACUGAGAUACGGCCCAGACUCCUACGGGAGGCAGCAGUGGGGAACUAUUGCACAAUGGGCGAAA